rnacentral:rRNA from 1 species
CGGGACGGGUGAGUAAUGCUUGGGAAUCUAGCUUAUGGAGGGGGAUAACUACGGGAAACUGUAGCUAAUACCGCGUAAUAUCGAAAGAUUAAAGUGUGGGACCUUCGGGCCACAUGCCAUAGGAUGAGCCCAAGUGGGAUUAGGUAGUUGGUGAGGUAAAGGCUCACCAAGCCGACGAUCUCCAGCUGGUCUGAGAGGAUGACCAGCCACACUGGGACUGAGACACGGCCCAG